AAUCAUAUUCUCAUCAAAAGCUUUUUUGACAUUAUCUUUUUUUAUUUAUUUUAUAUAUAUAUUCAUAAGAAUAAAUCCACUCCAAAGUUGUAGUUUUCAUAUACCAUUAUACCAAGUUUCUCUUCUUUAAUUUUCUCUGUUGAGUUACUAAUUUUCAAAACAUGAUGAAUGAACCACCAAAAUAUGGUUAUCCAUAUCCCUCUCAAGGUCAAGGGUAUUAUCAAGGUGGUCCUCCUCCUGUGAUGGCACCACCAACAUAUGCUGCUCCUCCUCCUCCUCAGAAAAAUAGAGGUUUUCUUGAAGGAUGUCUAGCAGCUCUGUGUUGUUGCUGCCUGUUAGAUGAGUGUUGCUGUGAUCCCUCUGUAAUCUGUGUCUUGUAAUUAAUUAUUAAGGUCACCUUUUUAUUUUUGCUUUAAUUUGUAGUACAUAUACCAAUGUAUAAGAAUUGUAUAAUGUGAAUAAGUUCUUUAUGAACACUAUUAUUAGGAGUUAUAUUGUUGUAAUAAUCUUUUUGAUUUGAAUCAUUGAACUUCUAUUUCAUCUAUUUUUUGGUUG